GACGAUUGUAAAGGAAAUACAUGCUGGCUCUUCUGUAUGGUGGCUUGGGAAUAGUAAAAUAAUCCAUUUUGGAGGAUAGAUGGGAACAGAAGAACAGCCAUACUGGCCACUGCAGGGAACAUGGACCCUUUGACUCCAGUUCCACUGAUCAUGACAUACCUGAAAUCAACACUAUCACCAAGAGGAGAAAGGAUCUCCAGGCCUCUACAAAUCCUCUUUGCCUGCCAAUCCCCUGACCACUUUACUAUCCCAGAAUGACUUUUUCAUUUUUCUUAAUACAAAAUAGCCCAUUUUUCUGAAUUUUUUUUGUUCCUCUUCUGUAUGAAAACUAUUUGGAAUGGAGAGGUCAUACUGUGCUGGAUUUUAACUGAAGUAGUGCUUAGAGUCCAGCUGGAGCAUCCCCUCAGUAAUAUGAAUCUUAUGAGAAAGUAUGAAGUUCACACUCCUCAAACUCACUUUCAUAUUUUCAAUGAACUGCAUCGCAGUGUGUCGAGUUACAGCAUCCAGUGUCAUGUUUAGCCAUAUAACCGAGGAAUUGAUGUGAAAUUAAAUGUAUUCGGCUCCAAUGUGAUAUAAAGUUGAGAAUGUGACAUAGUUUUGAAAGUUUGAAUAAUCCAAAAUAUGCUUUUCUUUAAGCAUAUUUAUACCAGGGGAAAGUAGUUAGCUAGUGUAAUGAAAUGAUACAGAAUAUACCAAAAAAUCUACCCAAACCAUUUUUUGUUAAAUAGUGGUAGAUUUGAUAAUGGUGCAUACAGUAAAUAUAGUCAGUGGAUAAAACCUGUUACAAUAUCUAUUUUUUUAUCCAACAGGUUCAUUUUCAAAAUAUGAAUGAAGUGCAUAAAGGAAAAUAUAUUAAGUUAGAGUGGUGACUUGUUUCAUGUAUUGGAACAGAAUCCUACCCUACAGAAAGCAGUUGGAAGGGUAUUAGUGUGAGUCCCAUAUGCAAUCAAAUAUCUUUUAAACUAAAUAGAUUACUUUACUUACUGUGGGGCAUGGGGAAAAGUAGUUA